AAAAAAGGCAAUAUUUUUAAAUUAAUUACAAAACACCAUUAACUUAUUAAAUGCCACAUAUUAAUAUGUCAAAACAAUAGCAUUGGGCUAAAUGAUGGUGCCACAUUUAGGAUGAGAUCACGAUUAACCCUUACUCUUCUCUGUAUAGUUUUCUGAGAGUUUAUCAAAUCUAUUACGUAAAGCCCAACAUACAUGAUCCAAUGUCCAAAAUGAACCAGCACCAAGUCACACCCUUGAAAAACAUGGAGACUAUCUAACCUUAAAAGUUUCUACUUGACUACUUCCCACAGCUUUUUAACUCUAAGACCCACCAAUAAGUAGCGAAACAUGCUCAAAGAUUCAACAAUUAGCACAUAUAAUUCGCUUUGGAGUAGCUAUACAUUGCAUAAUUCCUAAUAUCAUCAAAUCAAACUUUAACAACCAAUCUCAUAAAAGGAACUGCCAAAAGAAAAGCCUCUAUUUUUCCAUGAAAGACUUGACCUUUCCAAACCAUUGCAUAAGUUCAAUCCUGUCCUUAUUCUUCAUAUAUUCAUGCAAGAAAACAG
rnacentral:misc_RNA from 1 species